AUUGUACGCUGGCGGCAGGCCUAACACAUGCAAGUCGAACGGUAACAGGAAGACGCUUGCUUCUUUGCUGACGAGUGGCGGACGGGUGAGUAAUGUCUGGGAAACUGCCUGAUGGAGGGGGAUAACUACUGGAAACGGUAGCUAAUACCGCAUAACGUCGCAAGCCCAAAAAGGGGGACCUUCGGGCCUCUUGCCAUCGGAUGUGCCCAGAUGGGAUUAGCUAGUAGGUGGGGUAACGGCUCACCUAGGCGACGAUCCCUAGCUGGUCUGAGAGGAUGACCAGCCACACUGGAACUGAGACACGGUCCAGACUCCUACGGGAGGCAGCAGCGGGGAAUAUUGCACAAUGGGCGCAAGCCUGAUGCAGCCAUGCCGCGUGUAUGAAGAAGGCCUUCGGGUUGUAAAGUACUUUCAGCGGGGAGGAAGGGAGUAAAGUUAAUACCUUUGCUCAUUGACGUUACCCGCAGAAGAAGCACCGGCUAACUCCGUG
rnacentral:rRNA from 1 species